CGCUACGCUCCCUGGUCCACGUCGGGGCUCCGACCGGAGGCGCGUCCCUGGAAAGGCAAGGGGCGCGAGAGGGGCCGGGCCUACCCCGCUGCGCCGCAGGGACCCCGGAAUGGACCUGACGUUGGACUGAGCACUGACCUUAGAUUAAGGACCCUGAAUGAUACAUCACUUCAUGGCAUUGUGUGUGGCAAAUUGUUUUCAAAGAUGGCGCCAACAAUUCCAUCCUCCCUGUGACCUCAUGCCACUCCUCCCAACAAGUGGUGGAAGAUACCUCUCCUCCCCUUGAACCGAGCCUGUCUUUGUGACUUGAUUUGACCAAAAGAAUGCGGAGGAAGGGAUGCUCUGCCAGUUCCAGGCCCAGGCCUUACAAGACCUGAUAGUGUCUGCUUUUGGCCUCUUGGGAUUUGGCCACCAUGGAUAAGCUCAGGCCAGAGAGCUGAACGGCAAGAGCCUGCCUGGGGAGGGAGAGGCCCGGUCAGCUCCCUGCUCUUCCAGCCCCAGCCAAGGAGCCAGACAUGUGAGUGAAGCCAUCCUGGAUGUUCCAGCUCCGGCCAAGCUCUCAGCUAAAUGCAGCCACGUGAGUGACCUCAGCCAACUCAAUACAGAUCAGAAGAACUAACUGCCUGGCCGAGGCCAGCCAACCCACAGAAUCAUGAAAAAUAAUAAAUUUUUAUUGUUUUAAGCCACUAA